rnacentral:rRNA from 1 species
AAACGGUGAGUAAUACCGUAUACGCCCUCAGGGGGAAAGAUUUAUCGGAGAAGGAUCAGCCCGCGUUAGAUUAGGUAGUUGGUGGGGUAACGGCCUACCAAGCCUACGAUCUAUAGCUGGUUUUAGAGGAUGAUCAGCCACACUGGGACUGAGACACGGCCCAGACUCCUACGGGAGGCAGCAGUAGGGAAUCUUGGACAAUGGGGGCAACCCUGAUCCAGCCAUGCCGCGUGAGUGAAGAAGGCCCUAGGGUCGUAAAGCUCUUUCGCCUGUGAUGAUAAUGACAGUAGCAGGUAAAGAAACCCCGGCUAACUCCGUGCCAGCAGCCGCGGUAAUACGGAGGGGGUUAGCGUUGUUCGGAAUUACUGGGCGUAAAGCGCGCGUAGGCGGAUUGGAAAGUUGGGGGUGAAAUCCCGGGGCUCAACCCCGGAACUGCCUUCAAAACUCCCAGUCUANAGUUCGAGAGAGGUGA